UGUGUGCCAAUAUAUUCAGAAACGGACAAUUAUCGAAAAGAAAAAUGAGGCUCGUAUGUUCAUGACAAAGCAAGUGAUUUGAUGACCAUGUUUUAGAAUGUGAAUAAUUAUGUAUAUAUAUCUAUUGCACUGAUGGAGAAACUCUAAUUCCAUUGUCUUUUAGAGCAGUAGUUCUCAAACUCUCUCAAUGAUGUUUAUUGAUUUUUUUUACAUGUACAGAAUUAUUUUUUUUAAUAAAUUUGAAAUGCC
rnacentral:sRNA from 1 species